rnacentral:rRNA from 1 species
GUGGGGAAUAUUGGACAAUGGGCGAAAGCCUGAUCCAGCCAUGCCGCGUGUGUGAAGAAGGUCUUCGGAUUGUAAAGCACUUUAAGUUGGGAGGAAGGGCAGUAAGUUAAUACCUUGCUGUUUUGACGUUACCGACAGAAUAAGCACCGGCUAACUUCGUGCCAGCAGCCGCGGUAAUACGAAGGGUGCAAGCGUUAAUCGGAAUUACUGGGCGUAAAGCGCGCGUAGGUGGUUUUGUAAGUUGGAGGUGAAAGCCCCGGGCUCAACCUGGGAACUACCUCCAAAACUGCAUGACUAGAGUACGGUAGAGGGUAGUGGAAGUUCCUGUGUAGCGGUGAAAUGCGUAGAUAUAAGAAGGAACACCAGUGGCGAAGGCGACUACCUGGACUGAUACUGACACUGAGGUGCGAAAGCGUGGGGAGCAAACAGGAUUAGAAACCCUUGUAGUCC